GAUGAAGAACGCAGCGAAAUGCGAUAAGUAAUGUGAAUUGCAGAAUUCAGUGAAUCAUCGAAUCUUUGAACGCAAAUUGCGCCCGUCAGUAUUCUGGCGGGCAUGCCUGUUCGAGCGUCAUUACGCCCCUCAAGUCCCCUGUGGACUUGGUGUUGGGGAUCGGCGAGGCUGGUUUUCCAGCACAGCCGUCCCUUAAAUUAAUUGGCGGUCUCGCCGUGGCCCUCCUCUGCGCAGUAGUAAAACACUCGCAACAGGAGCCCGGCGCGGUCCACUGCCGUAAAACCCCCCAACUUUUUAUAGUUGACCUCGAAUCAGGUAGGACUACCCGCUGAACUUAAGCAUAUCAAUAAGCGGAGGA
rnacentral:misc_RNA from 1 species